rnacentral:rRNA from 1 species
GACGAACGCUGGCGGCGUGCUUAACACAUGCAAGUCGAACGGAAAGGCCCUGCUUUUGUGGGGUGCUCGAGUGGCGAACGGGUGAGUAACACGUGAGUAACCUGCCCUUGACUUUGGGAUAACUUCAGGAAACUGGGGCUACUACCGGAUCGGAGCUCCUGCUGCAUGGUGGGGGUUGGAAAUUUUCGGCCGUUGGGGAUGGACUCGCGGCUUAUCAGCUUGUUGGUGGGGUAGUGGCUUACCAAGGCUUUGACGGGUAGCCGGCCUGAGAGGGUGACCGGCCACAUUGGGACUGAGAGACGGACCAGACUCCUACGGGAGGCAGCAGUGGGGAAUAUUGCACAAUGGGCGGAAGCCUGAUGCAGCAACGCCGCGUGCGGGAUGACGGCCUUCGGGUUGUAAACCGCUUUCGCCUGUGACGAAGCGUGAGUGACGGUAAUGGGUAAAGAAGCACCGGCUAACUACGUG